GUGGGGAAUUUUGGACAAUGGGCGAAAGCCUGAUCCAGCCAUGCCGCGUGCAGGAUGAAGGCCUUCGGGUUGUAAACUGCUUUUGUACGGAACGAAACGGUCCGGGUUAAUACCCUGGGCUAAUGACGGUACCGUAAGAAUAAGCACCGGCUAACUACGUGCCAGCAGCCGCGGUAAUACGUAGGGUGCAAGCGUUAAUCGGAAUUACUGGGCGUAAAGCGUGCGCAGGCGGUUUUGUAAGACAGGCGUGAAAUCCCCGGGCUCAACCUGGGAAUUGCGCUUGUGACUGCAAGGCUGGAGUGCGGCAGAGGGGGAUGGAAUUCCGCGUGUAGCAGUGAAAUGCGUAGAUAUGCGGAGGAACACCGAUGGCGAAGGCAAUCCCCUGGGCCUGCACUGACGCUCAUGCACGAAAGCGUGGGGAGCAAACAGGAUUAGAUACCCCGGUAGUCC
rnacentral:rRNA from 1 species